ensembl:lncRNA
AUGGCCGUGCGCGCGGACCGGAUGAAGUUGCCAUGGAAACGGAGGGCAACACUGCAAAUGUCACGAGGAAACACCCCGUUUCUCGCUGAUUUCACUGUUUUCAGGAAUGGUUUAAUGUCUUCGAAAAAGUCCGUUAGCAUUUCUACCGUUUUCAGACGACGUAUCGUCAGGUAUGAUAACGCUAUUGUGCUCUUAUUUAUGUAAGUUUGGGCUUUUAAUCAAAUCUUUAUCUGUAGAUGAUAGCUUUUGACUGUUUUGUUGGUAAUCUUUCAAUGGAUGAUUGGAAAUUGCUUAAUUUAACCUUAACAUUUACACUUUACUGUUUAUCGAUGACGUAACGUUAUCAAGGAGCGCGAAAAUUGGCUGAAAACUAAAGUUGUUUUGAUCUUUUAUGGUAAACAUAAAACUGUUCUGCGAUUUCAAGAGUGACAAAAUAAUCCUUCUACAACAGAAGGGAGUGUCCAAGAUUUCAAUAUUUCUGAAGGGAGCUGCUGACAGAGAUGUAGGAAGCGCUGAAAAGGUUAAGUAACCUAAUAUGCAUUUUUUUUCACAACAUAUAUCACAAUGAAUCUGUUAUUUUAUUU